GGACGGGCCCGCGGCAUCGUCCGCGACGCAGCUCGGGAUCCGGGUCGGGGUGUCGGCCGGGUUGCUGCCGGGCACCGUCGAGCGUUAGCCACCCAGCAUUGAGCUGCCAGCGGCUGUUCUCCCUAAGCACCCUCGCUCACGUCGCCUCGCCUCGCCUGACCGGCCGCAGCCUUGGAUACCAGCCUUAAAUCGAGCCGACUACGGCCCAGCCCCGCCCGCGGCGAGGUGCGCGGGGUUCGGUGCGAGCCCCUCGCCCCUGGCCGGGCCAGCCUCUUGAUGCACCGGGGACGGGCGCGCCCAUCCGACUCUUCGAGGGGCGGCAGGGCCCCAUCUGUGUCUUUCGCUCUCGAGCCCCCAGCUAGAGUUGGCUUCAGCGGAAUACCUACUGUGCGGGAUUAUUCAACAAGCCGAUUGAUCACAUUCUUCAGCUCUAGCAGUGCAAAGGCUUCACUGAAAAAGAACAUUACAACUUUUUUGAAAGAAAUUUGGGGGUAAAUUUAAUUUUAAAUACUGAUUUUUGAUAACAUUUGAUCUUAUGACAGCAUUUGUAUUUUUAAUUACAGAUAGGAUUACACUAAAAGUCAUUUCUGACCUGCUCCCUUACCCUUAUGGCUAAAAUAAACUGCUAGGCCCUGAAGCAAAGGCGAGCCAUGUUCUAGAGCAAUGUCUUUCUUGUAUUAAAAUACAGCCCCAUGCUCACAAAAAAAAAAAAAAAAAAUUUUGGAGUGUAAACAUAUACAUCAUCUUAAUUUGAGUCCUUAUGUGUUGACGGUGUGCAGGGAAGAAUGGGAAAGUAACUGUAAGUGGAGCCCAGAAAGAACUAACAAAUUCAUGAAAAAGUGACAUUAUUGCUGGUCUAUUUUUUUUUUAAUUUUCUGCUUCCUCACACUCUCCCAUACUAAAUGAAUUAUUUAGUGGUUUUUUUUUUGUUUUUUUUUUUUUGUUUUUUUUUGUGAUACGGAGUUUUGCUAUUGUUGCCCAGGCUGGCACGAUCUUGGCUCACCGCAACCUCCGCCUCCCAAGUUCAAGUGAUUCUCCUACCUCAGCCUCCCAAGUAGCUGGGAUUACAGGCAUGCACCACCGCGCCCGGCUAAUUUUUUGUGUUUUUAUUAGAGACGGGGUUUCUCCAUGGUGGUCAGGCUGGUCGCAAACUCCCGACCUUAGGUGAUACGCCCACCUCGGCCUCCCAAAGUGCUGGGAUUACAGGCGUGAGCCACCGUGCCCGGCCGACAGGUGUUUUUUAUGAGUUACAGACUAUGUGCUUUCAGAAUGAGGCAACUGAUUUAAGGAUGUAAGCAUAAUUUAAGGAUAUUGAAAAUGAUAUAGGAAUAAAUUUGUUUAGUCAUUCAUGGAUUUAUUCAUUUUCAGAUGACUAUGUGUGUGAAUAUUUAAGAAUUCUAAAACCGCAUGGGAUUACUUAUAACUGUAUAGGAGCCUAACACGAUAAUGGAAUCAGAAUAUACUUUGCUGAAGGUAUGAGGCUUUUAACUGAAAGUCUUCUCUCUACGUUUUUAUGUCUGUAACAAGAAUCCACUGAAGACCUACAUUUCCCGGAAGGUUAACAGCCCCCUUCUCAGUUUUCCUGAUAUAAAUUUAAUUCACAGUUGGGCAGGGCAUGGUGCCUCACACCUAUAAUCCAAGCACUUUGGGAGCCCGAGGCAGGCGGAUCACCUGAGGUUAGGAAUUCAAGACCAGCCUGGGCAACAUGGUGAAACCCCGUCUCUACUAAAAAUACAAAAAUUACUACUCAGGAGGCUGAGGUAGG
rnacentral:lncRNA from 1 species